rnacentral:lncRNA from 1 species
AAGAGAUUAUGGAGUCCAAGGAAACAACCGAGGAUAAAGAAACUAGGAGGGAGCAACAAGAUAACAUGAAAAACAAUUUGAUGGAGCAAACUAAAAUACCUCAAGUGAGAGCAAUUGUUGAAAGACAGGAUCCCUCUUCUAAGGUGAUCUUUGCGUCUCUUUUAUUUGCAGCCGUUGAUGUUCUUGUUAUUCUUCCUAGACAUAGCUACUUUAUAAUACUUGUCGAUUUUUGACAAUAUUUCUUAUCUAUGUACGGAGCAACAUAGCUACUAGACAUCCUAAGAGGCGGCAAUGACCAUCCUCUAUAUUUUUCAAGCCAAGCUCACUCAAAUUAUGUUACUGUCUCAGUUUUCUUGAGCUCUGCAGUCUUUCACCAUUCUUGGUGGUGAUAACAGUACUGGAAGCUGCAGUGGUCUGUGAACGUUGCUUUACUUUGUUCUUGUAAUAAUCGAACUCCCUGUUACUGUCAUAAUUUGUGACAGGUGGCGGUAACGUGGUGUGUGUGUGUGUGUGUGUGUAUAUAAUAUGUUUGAUUUUUCUCAGAGUUGAUCUCUUUAUUCAAUUGACAAUGAUCUUGGAAUUUCUUAAUUAAAAUCGAGGUGCAGGAAGUAGAUGACCUGACGAUUAGAAGAUUUUUGCGUGCUCGUGAUUUAGACAUAGGAAGGCUUCUUCCAUGCUCCUCGGAUACCUGAAAUGGAGAAGGGAAUUUGUUCCAAAUGGUUCAGUUUCUCUGUUGGAGACGCCAAAUGAAGUUGCGCAGAACAAGAUGUUUCUGCAAGGAUCAGAUAAGAAAGGACGACCUAUAACAGUUAUCCUUGGAGCUAGGCAUGUUCAGAGCAAAGGAGGUCUAGAAGAAUUCAAGCGUGUGUACAGUUACCAUAUGCCUUUAAUCAUCUGACAACUUGCAACAGAUCCUAUGAUUUUUGUCUUAAUUUAUCUUUCAACUGAGACAGUUUUAUCAUUGCUUGUGCGUCUAGGUUUUGUAGUCUAUGGUUUUGACAAGAUAUGUUCAAGGUAAUUCCUUGCCUACCAGCCAUUUCUGUCUUAGAAAAAUAUUGAAAACUGCAGAUCAGUGCAGCACCUUGGCCGUAACAUAUUCUGAUAUAUAUUCGACAUUGACGUAUCAGGAUGCCACCAGGACAAGAGAAAUUUGUUGUCAUUGGAGACCUUGAGGGUUGGGGGUAUGCAAACAGCGAUAUCCAUGGAUACCUUGCAGGUUUAUCCAUUUUGCAGGUAUUGAGCUCGACUACGCACCAUUUUUCUAUAGCUGAUUGUAAUGGUAUUUGAAUAGCCUGGCUGAAAUUUCUCGAGUGCAGGAAUAUUACCCAGAAAGGCUUGCAAAGGUACUCCUUGUGCAUGCUCCCUACAUUUUUAUGGCAGUGUGGAAGAUUGUUUAUCCUUUUAUAGACAAAAACACCAGGAAGAAGGUAAAGAGUGUGCAUUCAUCUUGUAUUCCUUUGACCAAAAACUGAUCAUAUGCAUGCAAUCAGUUGAAUAAUUUAUCUGUGUGUGGAUUGCUAAUGUAUUGAAGUCCUGCAUCUCUUCACAGAUAGUAUUUGUGGAUAACAGGAAGCUGAAAUCAACUCUCCUUGAAGAAAUUGAUGAGAGCCAGAUCCCUGACAUUUACGGGGGGAAACUUUCAUUAAUUCCUAUCCAUCAAAGCACGUGAUGCAGCCAGCAAGCAACUGCAGGGAAACAUGAUUGGAUACCAAAGUACCAUUACUAUAUUAAUUUAAAGUCAAUGUGGACCUCUUAGAGCUAAAUGCAUGGUUUUCAAGUUUUCUGGCUUUGUUUUAAUUAAUUUAGAUUUCUCAUUGUCGGCAUUAUUUUUGUGUUUUUGUUUGGUUGUGUUAACCUUGAAAUUAGAUAAAAAAUUAACUCACAAUGAUUUUCUUUUUAUUUUUUUAUUUUUAUAAACACUUAGUAAAAAGACCUACUUGUCCUUAAGUUUAUAUUCUUAAGCCUUAAGUCAAAAAGUAUUUUAGUCAUUGAACAACUAAUUUAUUUUUUGUUAUUAUGUUGGGCUAUAGACAAUUUGGUAUUUUAAAAAAAUAAAAAAAUUUGUUUACAUUUGCUGAGCAUGCGUUAACACAUCAACUGCUUUGUCGUCUUUAAAUGACACUUGUAAUUGAUUGUAAUGGCCAAAAAAGCUAUUUCGGGUGACAUCAAUUUCAUCUCAUUGUUUCUUCUAUAAAAAUAUGAUGUGUGUACCGAGAAGAACUCUGGUUUGGUGCCAAUGGCCAUUUGUUUCUCUUUUUUCUUUUCUUUUCCUUGGUGUUUGCUCUCUGCCCCUUGAUUUUUCAAAUUAGCCCUUAAACUUCUCCUUUUUUAUUAUUUAGUCUUUGUUCUUUUGAUUUUUCUAAGUAUUCCAUUAAAUUAGAUUUUUAUUUUGAUUUCAUCCUCAUUCAGCUUUUUGCUUUGUCAAAUUUAAUCUUUAUUUUUUUAAUUUCUAUUUUUGUAAUGUGAGAUAAUUUUUUGAAUUUUAUUUUUUUAUUCCACCCCCAUUAAUAUUUUUUUAUUAUUAAAUUACAUCCUCAUUCUUUUGAUUAUGUUUUUUCUUUCUUUGUAAAAUUUCCUAAUUUGAUUUUUUUUUUAAUUUUAUUCUUCAACAUUUAAUUGAUUUAGAUAUGAUCUUCUUGGUUAAACUCAUGUCUAGGAUUUCACGGUUGCAAACUUUGAUAAUUAAUAUAGUUUCACGAGGGUUCCCGAGGAUUGCAUUGUUUUUUUUAAUCAUUUUUUUAAGUUGAUGUUUUUUAAUUUUUCAUCCUUUAUUAUUUAUUUAAUUAGAGAUUGAACUUUAUAUUUUUUCCUACUUUUUAUGACCUUUGUUUUAUCUAUUGUUUUUUUUUAUUUAAUUAGGUUAUUUCGAGCUUUUUUUAUUUUUUGUUCUUUUUUAUUUUUUUAAUUAAAAUAGAAUUGAUUGAUUGAAUAUAGUUGCAUGCUCACUUCAUUUUGUUUUGUUUGCUUUACUUUUCCAAGACGUUGCUUUAGCAGCCCAGACAACUUCUUUUUGAAGUUGACAUUGUCCAUACUAUUGCAAUUAGGUUUAAACCGUUUCGGCAAACUCUUUUUAUAAUGGACAAUGUCCAUAAUGAGGAGACAGUGAGUCUCUAAUGAUUAUUUUUUAUUCUUCUCUUUUCUGGUAUGAUAUCAGUGAUUCAUUUGUUUUAUUUAAUUAUUGUCAAAUAUCUUUUUUAGAAUAGUCUAUUAUCAUUGCUUAUAGUUUAAAUCAGAUUAUUAAACUACCCAAUCUUAUUAAAUCUAGUCAUCAAGUAAAUGAAUUAAAUAUUGGAUUUUUCUUGUUAUUUUAAAAAUAUUUUCAACAUUUGAGUAUCUUUUUUAUAAGCUUAAAUUUUUUUGAUUAGCUUGUGAUAUAGCACAAAUCACCGAUCUAAUAUUCCCUGACAAUAAAUUCAAAUUCAAAUUUGGUGUCUUGGCUAUUGAAAGUUAAAGACAUAUAGUUGGACAGGAAAUGUUAAAGGGAUUGUCAAGCUUUGGAACUAGGAGUAUGCUAAGAUACUAUCACAAAUAUCCAACUUCCAAGGGUUGAUUCACCUUGUGGGCUGUCUUUUCUUUAUUCUUUUAGUUAUUUUCUUAUUUUUAUUUUUUUUUAAUUCUUUUGGAAUUUAUCUAUUAAAUCAACUGGAUUAACUUUGGAUUGAUUUUGUACAACUCGGAACGAGUUGUCUAAAUACUAUAUUGAUACGCCCUCUCUCCUUCGAAUCCUUAUACCGAUUCUUAGCCCCUUCAAUUUCUCUUGCUAGUGCCACUGCCAUAUUUCGGCACUGUACUGUAUAUUAUCUUCUGCAAGCCCAGCUUGAUCUAGAAGAUCGACCAUGGAUCCAUAACGAUUCCAUAAUUGAGGAUCGAUUUCUCAUUAAAUCAAAGUAUUUGUGCCCUUCUGUGACCGCACCACAAUGGCUACACGCUGUUAAAACUCCAAGAAAUGUUAUAGAAUCAGGCAAAACAUUUUCUACUGCCAUCUUCGUGAAGACUUUGAAUCCAUAACGAUUCCAUAAUUGAGGAUCGAUUUCUCAUUAAAUCAAAGUAUUUGUGCCCUUCUGUGACCGCACCACAAUGGCUACACGCUGUUAAAACUCCAAGAAAUGUUAUAGAAUCAGGCAAAACAUUUUCUACUGCCAUCUUCGUGAAGACUUUGAUUGUAUCUCUAGCAAGCUCAUGAACUGCUAAACCAUUGAUCAUCCAAUUCCAAAUACAAACAUUGCCGCGUUGGACACCAUCAAAAAUCUCCUUCGUAGUCUGAAUUUUACUGCACUUCGAAUCAUUGUCUAUCAAUGCUAAACUCAAAAGAAAAAACUUGACUCACUUCUUUUCUCGAUCAACAAUUCAUAUGCACCCUCUGAGCAUGCUUAAGGUCUCCGAGUCUUGCACGCCAUUUAUAACCACAUGCAAGUGUACAUUUAUCUGGUUCAACAUUCGAUCUAAUCAUAGCUCAAAAAAGUCUCAAUGCCUCCUCAUAUCCUCCGAUCAUUGUGUUCCAUAUAUGUAAGUUUAUAACCACAUCUCGUGCACGAAUUUUAUAAGAAACCGUUUUGGCAAUCCUAUAAUAUCCCAUUUUAAUAAACUUAUCAAUAAUAAUAUCCGACUCCAUUGAGGUUUUGCAUGGUUGAAGAACGUUAAAUCAUACUUGAUAAUCUGCAAAAAUACCAUUAAUUGUCACAAAAAUGGUCUAAACUUAGAAUCAUUCACUAAGGACAAUAAUUACACUUCAUAAUCAGCAAUUUUUUUUAAGGGAAUCAUUAUCAGUAAAGGGUCUUAAGUUACAAAUGUUAUCCCUAGAAGCGUCUACUAAAGUUUCAAUCUUUCAUUAAUGAAAAAUACAAGAAAAAAUGUAACCUGUUCUGAGACAAUAUAUAGCAAGCGAGCAAGCAAUACCUCAUAAUUCCCCAACGGGGCUGUGUAGUUAGUGUCUUUAUCACAUUCACCUCCAUAGUUCUUUACUCUGUGUGGGCGUUUUCAGUGUUUCUGCUUUGAAAUGAAAGAGAAAGUGGAAGAGAGAAGAGUCCAAAAAUGGGGUAAAUCAAUACCAUUUAUGGGCUUAAAAAAAAACGGGCCUUGUGGGGCCUUUGCUUCUUUAUUUUUUGAACUUACCAACUCAAAACCGGCGUCGUCUCAACAAAGCAAUCGCUUCCAACGGUCAAAAAAUAUUUCAUUUCUAUCGAGCAAACCAAACUGCGUGUAUAUAAACGAAGAAAGGAAACCCCUUUCUUCAUUUUUCUCUCAUGCCUCUCUUUCUGCGUUUUCAAAAUCCUCUCCCUCUUAAAGAAAAACCCUAAGAAAGACCGUUCAUCAAGUUUCACUUCUAAGGUAUGAUUGAAGAUUCACGCUCUUAAGAUUUUUUCUUUUAUUUAGUUAUUAUUUCUUUGUUUAAUUUUCAGUUGGAAUAUUUCUUUGUUUGAUUUCCAGUUUGAAUUAGAAUUUAAAUACUUCGUUAACAAAGUUCUUUGUUAACAUUCUUCUCUUUUAUCUUCUGUUCUCUCUUUUGUUGUGUUUUUUUUAUUAUUUAGUAUGAUUAUGUGGUUUCUUGCAUGAUUGUCUUUAGAAAGAAAUUUCAAUUCAGGGCAUGAACAUUAUUUCUCCGUUUUGAUUGUAUUUAUCUUCUCUUGCUUUAUGAAUUUUAAAAUAUUCUUGGUCAUCAAUCGCUAAAAUCCUAGGUUUAGUCUUUUUUCUCUCUAUUUUAAAAUUUUAAAGGUUUCUUUUUGCGAUAAACUUAAUUUUGAAACAUUAACCCUAGAUUUCGUUCUGCUUGGUUGAUGAGGAAAUGAAGGAAAAUCAAAUUUGAAGCUUCGAAAAAGUCUGAACUGUUCCUGUCCAAAAAUGUGUUUUGAUGAUGCUCUAGAAAAGGAAAAUGAGAGGCUUGAAGUGCAACGAUUGCAAGCUAAUUUGGACGCCAGAUCAAUGCAAAGGUGUUCAUGUAGCAGAAGCUGCAGUUGCAAAUUAUCUUCAUAAGUUCUUAGAAACUGGAGCCUGGGCGUUUAGAUGCCACCGAAAAAAAUCUUAGAGGUUAGAUUUUUGUAAACUCAUGUGUAAGGAGUUCAAACUGACCGGUACAAUUUGGUUCUAUAUUUUUAAAAAUUGAAUAAAUCUAAUUAUUUAAUCUUUUAAUAAAAUUUGAUUUCAUGUAUAGUGAGUUUUUAGUCUACAUAUAACGAGUUUAAUUUUAAAACCAAACCAAACAAAAGAAUUAAAAUUUUCUAAUUAGGUUUUUUUUGGUUUAAUAUCUAUGAUCAGUAUUUUAUUCUUUAUUAAUUUUAUAUCUGUUUUUCUCAACUAUUUUAGUCAUAUUUCAUCAUUCAUCCAUUUUCUUUCAUUUUUAUCAAUCCUGGCGAAUUUGCAGUCAUGGAAUUUUCAGCAGCCAUAUUGUAAUGAGGUGUCAACUGUCGGGGAUGGUAAAAUUGUCAAAAAUUAAUUGGGAAAUUUUGAGUGUUGUUAGAAUGAACAUAUUGAAGCGAAAAGGUCCCUCACCUUGAUUUUGUCAUUUGCAAUUUAAAUGAGACUGAUAAUGUGAUUCAAAUUUAAUGCUCCUAGUACUCUGACUUUCUUGGAGUGGAAAUGUGCAUGAAAAUUAAGAACAUAUUGAGGAGUAUUUUAGAGAAAACUAAAGCUUGGAUGAGGAGAUGUUACUGGAUAAUAAAUUUCUUUGUAGAAUGCAAUACAGUUAGGAUAAUGUUUUGUUUAUCUUCGAGGCAACCUUUAAAAUCCUGUUUCAGAUAAAUAUACUAGAAAUCCUUUUUUAUUGGGAUGUCGAUCAACAACAUAUUUUGAAUGCUAAAAUAUGUAUCAUUUUUUUUCCUUCUUCAUUUCAGUUGAUCAUCAUUGUUAUAUGUUCUUUCCAUUAUCUUUACCUUGAAAAGUUUGGAGCAGGUGGUUCCCUUAUCUUGUAUGAUGGAUGAAUUGUAGUUCAAUUUUGAUGUGGCUGUUCUUUUUCAUUUUUAAUACCUGCUGCUGAGACACUUGCAUGGGAAAAGAACUUGAAAUGCCAUUAAUGAUUUAUGGAGGUUAAGAGGAUGAACCUCAAAAUCAUAUUAUAAUGAACAAAAAUCUUUUUUGUGUUUUACUUGAACUUUGAAAUUGAACCAAAAUACAAAACUUGUAUUUGUGUGCAUGUAUAACUCUGGCCUUGUACACAUUUCACUUCACUUUUUUUCUACGGCAACUAGUCUUUUAUUAUUGUGUUUGUAAGGCUUUCACUCUUUUAGGCAAUUUUUUUAUGAAUGCGUUGGGCAAAGAAAAAGUCAAAAGUGGAGAAAGACUGAUGCUUUGAAUAGCUUAAUACGGAUGAAACGAAGUAGGCAUCUGAGGUAAUAAUUUUGUAGUUUCUUAUGUACUGAUAAUAUAAGGUCUAGUCACUUUGUAGUUGUCUACAUGAUUGUUUGGCUUAAUUAUUGAAAUAGGUUAUAUUCAGGGCACAACAGUCUCACAUCUCUUUUUCAUGUUGGGUAUUCUUUUUUUUUUUUUUAGAUUAACAUGGGUGUUCGGGUCAGCUUACGUGCACCUCAACAAGACCACAUCAAGCCUCCACAAUGAAAAGGUUUGUAAUUCGCCGUUCUCUUUUGAAUAUCUCUUAUUGUCGUUGAUUAGCAUCUCACGGUUCUUUGAUAAGGCAUAAAGAAAUCAUUUUGGUAGCAACCACCAAACCAAUAGAACAAGGGAACUCUGCAGCUGGUCUAUAAGUAAGGUAAGUAGAUUCAUUACCAGCCGGCUCCGGACCGUCAGAAACAUGACACCUCGGUUCAGCCAAGCAUUCAGGUUUUUCCUAAUUUCCUGUGAGGCAUAUCGUAUAUUUUCGGUGUACUCGUCAAAUUUUAUGUUCAAGUAACAACCCACGUAGUGGUUUUUGUUUUAGAAUUUUGAAAAUUUUGUUAUUUGAGUCUAUUCAGUUUCUGUUUCAUAUGCAUAGAUUCAUUUAAUCGAGUACAAGAAGUGUUAUUGCCUUGUUAAUAAUCUUUAUUUUCUUCUUUCUUCAUUGUAAGCCAGUAGACAAUAAUCAGCUGUCGGAAAUGUUCUUUCUUGCUUUAUAAUUUUAACUUUAAAGGUCAUAAAGUAGUGUUGGUACCUGGGUUUUUUUUUUUUACUGUAUUAAUGCUCUUAAAUUGCUAUUUCAUUUUGUAUGAGCGUUGUCUAUUUUAGAGAAUAUUCAUGUAGAUUCAUCCCUUUCUCUCUAGUCUCCAUUACUACUAAGUAAAGCCUCACUUUAGUUUUCAUUUGUGCAAAAUCUAAGCUAAGAACAAAGAACAUGUUUUUGCAGAACAACUUCACAGAGAUACAAUUUGUAACAUGAUUUAUAUGUUGAUGAAGAGGGAAGACUUUAUUAAUACAUGCCUUCAGGUACUUUUUUGAUUCUCUAUAUAUCUUCUCUUAGGAAUGUGAGAGUGCCUGAUUUACUUGUCUCACAACUUUGUCUAUGUGGGGUUGUUAUGGUGUUUAAGGAGAGAGUAGAAAGAGAGUUUUCUAAGGCCAAAGAAUCGAAUGGAGGUUAAUCAUGUGGCUCUGAUACCAUGUAAGGUUUUAAGACUAGUAAUGAAAAACUAUAUCAUCUGCUUAUAGCAUUGGAGUUUCAUUACAUAGAAGAACUUUACAGCAGUAGAGAAUAAGGAAAUAGUUGUUACAGGCUAUACAAGGAAUUAUAUCUAUAUAUUGUAUAAUUAGAAUGAAUCAAUUCCUAAUAAAGAGUGGAUUCAACUGCCCUGGGAAAGAUUCCCCUCCUAAUCAGGAUAGGAUAGUGGAUCUCCAUAUAGGGGCAAAAGUGCUACCAUGCCAUUUGGUCGGAUAUCCCAAUCUUUAAGUUUGAGUCACCAGUGACAGCCUUUGAUCAAGAAAGGUAGGCAGGUCGACUAUAUCCAUUCAAUUCAAGAUUAGCCAGUACUCUUUCCCUUAUCAAGAGCUUACCAUACUGAUUGUCUUCAAUAUCUGGAGUAGGAGUCUAUAUCUGAUCAUUUAUUUUCAGGAAUGAUCACUUAUCUUCAGGAAUAAAGAUCAGAUUCUAGUCUUAGUAAUCUUAUGUUGUGAGACAUGAGAUAGAGUUCACUUCCUGUCGCUGUUUGGGAAGAGAGUUUGACUUCAGGGAAUGUCUUGAGAGUGAGUUCCGGAGUCCUUUCCGGGACAUGUGAUCUUCUAUAUUGUCUUGAGAUAGGUUGUGAGAAUAGCUUCUCUUAGGAGAGUCUAGUCUAGUCUUUAUUCAAUUUCCUGGCUUUCUUCCGCUGUUACAUCAUCGAAUCAUUAUGAAUUUUUAUUGUGGCUUUAAAGUUUGUGGGACUCGAACUGGUAAUUUUUGAAAAGCAAACCACAAGAUUAAGAUCAUGUUGGGUAUUCUUGUUAAGAUACAUGGUUGUUAUUACUGUUUUAUUUUCGUUGCCACCAUCAUACCUAGUGAAGCUAGUUUCUUUAUCAUAUUUAGCUGCAUAGUUUCAUGUUGGUCUCCCUCCAUUUGUCUUAUUGUCUCUGCUUUGAGAGGGAAGAGUACGAGCAUGGAUUAUUGAGAGGGGUUAAUAUAGGAGGAAUGGUUUGCUUAAUUGCAGAAUCAAGUUUUUCUAUUGUUAAUGGAGAUUUUUAUUUACUGGUGUACAGCUCAAUUAUAAAAUCUCUCUCUAAAUUUUUUAAUAAUCACUAUUUUUUAGUUUCUUGAAUGAUAGUUAUUAACUAGGAGAGUGAAGUGCCCGUAAGAUUAGCCCGGGGAUAAAUGAAGUCUGAAGAUUGGCUUUUUCAAGUAUCCAUCCAUAAGACCAUUGGGCUUAAUUCUUGAAGAGUUCAAAUGUAGUUAGUGUUUUUCUUUCAGUGUUGAUGAGUCAAUUGGAAAGUUGGUGCUGCAUUCUCCAAGUCAACAGAUCUUCAUACGAGGUAAGGCUAUUUCGAUGAUCAUGGCCAGCUUAUAUUCCCUUUAAUUUCAUAUAAUUGAUCCUGGCUGAUCUAUUUCCAUGUAUGUAUAUCCUUGGGUAAUUUAAUUCUUGUGAAGUAGCAAGAUUCUUGUUUCUCUCUUGGUUUCAUACACUCUACAUAAAAUGGAGGUAGGAUGGCAUUGAUGGAACUAGGAUAAUGCUAACUCGGAUGGGUUACUGUAGUCUAUGCUUUUUUGCUUCAACCAAGUCAAUUCGCGCAGUGUUGGAAGCUUUCAACAUGUAGCCUGGCAUGAAAUGGGGUAAGAGAUGGCCAUUUUGUUCUCUCAUUUCUUUAUUCUUUCUUUGCAAUAUUGCAUGGUUAUGUCAUGACUUGGAUACUUCAUCGCUGGCAUGUUUUCUACAUUCUUUAGUUUUCACUUAAACUAAAUAUUAUCUCGUAAGUUUUCACUUCAAUCUGUUUCCCUUCUCUCGUUUAAAAAAUCCCUAAAUGAAAUAACCUUAAUUCUCGACUCCCUCAAUCAUACAAUCGUUAUCGUACUUGAUUGAAAAUCACAAAAAAGUUUUCUUUUCUUUCCCAUCUAAAAAACGCAACUUGUUUUGGCAUCACACAAGAUCCUCUCUUCUUCUUGAAAUUUCUUGAAAUAUUGUCAGGAUUGACAGAGAGUGACCUUAUGGCAAAUGUAAAACCACUACCACAGUAAACAUUCAAGGAGGCUUCUUUAUUCUGAAUAUCAGGGCCUAGACUGACUGUUUGAGGGAUAGUUUGAUCAUUUGUAUUCCCCAGGCCAAGUUGACCGCGUUCACCCCAACCCCAUUUCUUUAUUGCUCCAUCCACUGUGAACAAAAAUUUACAAUGUCAUCAACAAAAUGAAAUGACACAAAGGCUCACUAAAGAAAACGAAGAUGGGUAGCAAUUCAUAGUAAAUAAGCUUACCUGUCACUAAAGCAGAGUGCCAGUAUACUAUUGUGGUAGCAAUUGGAAGUAGUCGGAAAACAAUUUAGAGUUUGUAUAAUAUUGUGGUAGAAUUGUUUUUUAAAGUAAUUUUUUUUCCCCUCAAAGAGAGAGUUUGCUUUCCUUUUCUUGAACAGUUCAGCAUUGGGUUGGGCACAAAGCAACGAAGAGAUGCUAGAUAAUAAAGAAAGCAGUUUAUAAGGAUGAAGAAACUUUAAAUUAAUUGCAUUUUCUUCAAACUGAAUUUCUAGGAAUACGAUGUUUGAGCACUGAACUCUCCAGAGAUUUGAAUAUAUUUUUAAAAAUUACUUUGUAACAAAAUGAUAUUAAUGUCACAGCUAAUAAAUUGGAAAAGCAUAAGUGCUAGUUACAUACUAGUUACAUGCCCCGCACGAUGUCGCGGGUCAAUUAUUUUUUGCAUUUCAAAAAUAGUAAAGAUCUAAAAGUGUUAGGUUUUUUUGUAAAGUUAUACCAAAAAAUCUCAGUUUUGGUUGCAUCCCCUGAUCCAAGAGUAAUGUUUAUAAUAUUAAUAAUAACAUUAAACUUGGGUUAACCCUUAGCAUAAAAUUGUCUGGACUACAAUACCAGAUCCAAUAGCAUUGGACGUGGGUCUGGCUGCAAGGUCGUGUCAUAAAAGUAUGAUAAUUAAAUAGAGUAGUUAAAAAAAAAAAACCAACAGGAAGAAAAAAAACUAAUGAAAAAAAAAGAAAAAAAAUAUGAAUUAAUUGGGUUAACCCUUCAAACCAGGUUAACAUGUCAUACCUUGAAUUCACAUCAUGAAAGUUUGAUAAUUAAAACAAAAAAAAAACAAUUAAUGGGUUAACCUAGAAUUAACUAGGCUAACUCGUCAAACCCGGAAUUCGUGUAAUGAAAGUUUGAUAACUAAAUAGAAAAAAAUUUAAUAUUAACAAUUUAAAUUAAAUGAAAAAAAUUAAUUAAAAAAAAAAACAAAAGGCAUCAGUCUUUUCACUGUGGACUGCACUAAAAAAAACUAUUUAAUGCAGUCCACAGUGAAAGGCAUUAAAAAACAAAACUGAAGGCAUCAGCCGAAAACUACUUAGAAAAAAAUUUUAAUAUUAAUAAACUAAAUUAAUUAAAUAAAGUUAAUUAAAAAGAAAAAAUAAAAGAAAAAAACCUCUAAAAAGAAAAAAAAGUACUAAAUAGAAAGAAAUUUAACAUUAACAAGCUAUAUUAAAUGAAAAAAGUAAUUAAAAAAGAAAAAAAAGCAAAAAAAAUUUCAGGUUAACUCGUAAAAUCAAGUUAACCCGUUAAACCCGGGGUCCGUGUCAUGAAUGUCUGGUAACUAAAUAAAAAAAAAGUGAACAUUAACAAACUAAACAAACCAAAAAAAUAAUUAAAAAGAAAAAAAACAUUAUAACUUUUUCCAAAAUUUAUUUUAUUUUAUUUUUCCAAAAUUAUCUUUGUUGAUUUUACUUUUUAAAUAUUGAGCUCAUUAAAAAUUUUGCUUUAUAAUUUUUCCAUUUAAAAUACUGUGGAUUGCUACGAUGUUUUCUCAUGUAGUUUCUCUAUUUUAUUUUUUUUUUUUUAAAAUUAUAUUUGUCGAUUUUAUUUAUUUAUUAUAUUGAACUGAUUGAGAAUUUAGUUUUGUAAUUUUUUUUUCUUUAAUACAUUGUUGAUCGCUACAGUGUUUUUCCGCAUGUUUUUUUUUUCAUUUGUUUUUUUAUGAUUUUCUUCGAAAUUAUAUUUUUUAUUUUAUUUUUUAAUAUUAAGCUGGUUAAAAUAUUACAGUUACAAUAUGUGAGCAAAGCAUUAUAACUUUCCUCGCAAAUUAUUGUGGCUUGCUACAGUGUUUUUCCCUACAUGGAUUUUUUUUUGUUUUGUUAUGUUUUUCUCUAAAAUUAUCUUUGUCAAUUUUAUUUUUUAAGUAUUAAGCUGGUUAAGAAUUGCAAUUACAAGUGAAUACAAGUUUUUCCUCACAAAAUACUAUGGAUUGAUACAGUUUUUUUCUCACAUGGUUUGUUUUCCAGUUUCUUUUGUGUUUUCUUUUUUUGUAAUAUUUUUGUCUAAAAUUAUCUUCGUUGAUUUUUUUUUAAUAGAGUUGUUUAGAAUUUAAUUUUAUAAUAAAGCUUAAUCAUGUGGGAAAAACACUAUAGUUUUCCUCACAAAACAUUAUUGAGAAUUACAAUUACAAGUCAUUACAAAUACGGCUAAAUCAUGUGGGGAAGCACUGUAGCUUUCAUCACAAAACACUGUGAAUUACUAGUGUUUCUAACAUGAUUUUUUCCCUUUUUUGUGUUUUUUUUGUUAUUUUUUUAAAUUUUCUCUGUCGAUUUGAUUUUUUUUAAUAUUGAGCUGAUUAAGAAUUAUCUUCGUUGAUUUUUUUUUAAUAGAGUUGUUUAGAAUUUAACUUUGUAAUAAAGCUUAAUCAUGUGGGAAAGCACUGUAGUUUUCCUCACAAAACAUUAUUGAGAAUUACAAUUACAAGUCAUUACAAAUAAGGCUAAAUCAUGUGGGGAAGCACUGUAGCUUUCAUCAAAAAACACUGUGAAUUACUAGUGUUUCUAACAUGAUUUUUUUUCCCUUUUUUGUGUUUUUUUUGUUAUUUUUUUAAAUUGUCUCUGUCGAUUUGAUUUUUUUUAAUAUUGAGCUGAUUAAGAAUUUAGUUUUGUAUUUUUUUUCUUUAAAUACUAUGAAUUGUUGCAGUGUUUUCCCAUAUGAUUUUUUUUAAAAUUAUCUUGUCGAUUUUUUUUUGAAUAUUAAGUUGGUUGAAAAUUAUAAUUACAAUAAACUUAAAUCAUAUGGGAAAAGCGUUGUAGUUUUUUUCACACAACACUAUAGUUUUUCUCACAAAACAUUGUCAAUUACUGCAACAUUUUUUCUCAUGGGUUUUUUUCCUUCCAAGAUUAUCUUUGGUGGUUUUUUUUUAAUAUUAAGUUGGUAGAGAAUUUAGCUUUGUAAUUUGUUUUUGUUUUUUAUUAACAGAAAAGCUAAAUUAUGUGGUGAAAGCAUUGUAUCUUUCCUCCCAAAUUACUGUGGAUUACUACAAAUCAUUUUGUUCAGUCUCUAAGUUUUUUAUCACCAACACAACUUUUUUUUUCGUCACGAAAUAUUGGCUCCAUCAUACCUUUAGUUUCUAUUACUUAUCUAGUGCUAAUUUACAAUUAUAACGCUAUCAAAUAUAUUUGUUUUAUAAAUUCAUGACACGUGCGGGCUCGUUAAUAUUUAUAAUAUGGAGUUAUAAAACCAAGUUCACUUGUACAUGGAAUGGAUGUUCCGACAAGGAUCAAAAUUAAUAAUUCAUCCAUUUAUUGAGAAAAAAAUAUUAAAAAAUAGAGAUUUAUUUAAUAAAGCAAACUUCCUUAAUUAAUCAUCGUAUCAACCUCUUAAAAUUACCCUUUAUAAAAUACUAGUAAUUUUUCACUCAAUAUAUCCCAGCAAGUUAAUAUCAAAAUGAUCCAUCCAUUUAUUAAAAAAAAACAGACACAUAAAAAAAUACUUAGAGUUUGUUCAUGUUUGUGAUUAAAAAAUAUUUUUAAAAAUAUUUGAUUUUUUUAUGUUUUAAAUUAUUUUUUUUUGUUUUUGAGUUAUUUUGAUUUAUUAUAAUAAAAAUAAAUUUUAAUAAAUAAAUAAACUUAAUAAUUUUUUAAAAAAUAUAUUUUAAAAAAUAAUCAUUAUCAAACCAAUAAACCAUUCAAGCAUUAUCAUAGCUAUUUCUUAUACAUCAAAAAGAGAAAUACAACGAAAAAGAAAAGAAUUAAAAGAUGAUCAAACAUCGUUGAAUUGAAGUGUCUGAUGCUGAGAUCUACUACAUCGGGUCUUCUGAUCUUGUGCCGAAACCACAAGAACUACUUUUCUUCUUUCUAUUAUAGAGUCUAGUAUUUAAUGAACAUGUCACACCAUUUGAUUUUACAGUACGACUAUAUUUUUUAAAAUUUUGAAUUUUAAUAUACUAACAUAAAAAGAAAUAUCAUAGCUGUUGAAAAAAUAAAGUGAUUAAGCAAAAUAAGAGGUAACGUAUCUAAGUGAUCAGAUAGGGUAGGAGGGAGGGUAUAAUGAGUAAGGCAGAAGAGUGAAGGCUAGGUAGUGGAUUGAACAGCAUGUCCAUGAACUGCCAAGAGAUUAUGGAGUCCAAGGAAACAACCGAGGAUAAAGAAACUAGGAGGGAGCAACAAGAUAACAUGAAAAACAAUUUGAUGGAGCAAACUAAAAACCUCAAGUGAGAGCAAUUGUUGAAAGACAGGAUCCCUCUUCUAAGGUGAUCUUUGCGUCUUUUUUAUUUGCAGCCGUUGAUGUUCUUGUUAUUCUUCCUAGACAUAGCUACUUUAUAAUACUUGUCGAUUUUUGACAAUAUUUCUUAUCUAUGUACGGAGCAACAUAGCUACUAGACAUCCUAAGAGGCGGCAAUGACC